CUCAAAUGAAUGCUUUUUUUAUUUUUUUCUCUAGCUGUUACAAAUUCUUUGACCAUUCACCAUUUUCUUAGUAUACAAAGUAAACAUUUGUGUUCAGUAAGGUUUGUACGCUAUUUUGUAACUACAACAUUGUGAUUAUGAAUGUACAAACUGUGAUGGCCCUUGGUGCCUAAUGUUUCUUUAAGAUUUUUGUUUUCGCGAUGAUCACGUUUAAACGUUUAACCAAUUACAGUCUAUGUUAGCGGCUCCUUCAGUUCAAACGAGAAUACGCCUUCAUAACAUGACCACAAUACAGCCCUAAGACUUUUCGGUGAAGUGUGCGUUUAUUUUAAACUCGUUGACCCGACGAGGAUCGAAGUGCUCAGGAGAAAAAUGCGAGCAUUAAAAACGACGAGGGCAGAAUAAGAAAGAACAGGAAGUUGGAAUGAGCAGACGUUAAAUGAC